rnacentral:lncRNA from 1 species
GAGAAUAAUGGGUACAUGUUCAUAAUUAGAAUACAGAAGAGCAAAAGACAAAAUGUAUUUAAGGAAAAAAAUGUGUGGCUAAUAGCACUAAUAGCACAUUAUAUUUUUAUGAUGCAUUUCUUGAUUGAUAUGGUAUAUUUGUAAUUUAGACAAGUCUAGGGAGUAGAGUCACCAAAACUUUUAGAAAUAUAUGAAAUGUUUGACUUCUAAUUAGUUUAACUUUGUACGUAAGGAAAACAACAUUUAGGGGGCAUAUAUCUAACCUCACUUUCUGAAGUAGAUUGUUUUGGUUGAAAUCUACUUCAUAGAUACUUGUUAAAUAAUUGUUCACCCAUUCAUUUUUCCAUCAGAAAUCAAAGGAAAUGUAGAAACAGUAUAAACUUUCAAUCACAUCAAAAUUGGGGAGAGGGCCACUGGUGUUUGAGCCUUAGGCUUUAUACAUGCUUAGAAAAUACUCUGAACCACAUCCCCAGCUAAAAUAAACCUUAAAUCCACUUAAAUUCAAAAACUUGGUUUUUAAGAUUAUAAACUGUAUUCUUGGAUCAUAUAUGAAUACUGUUUUAUUGCAUGUCUGAUCUUGACACUAAGUUUUAAAGGAGUCUUCUCUUAUUAAAUGUAGUCUGUGUUUUUAAGUAAUUAUAUCCAAGAAGCAAAAGUAAAGCAAAAACAAAUUUUAAUCGGCCUUCUGUAAAUUUUAUUUACUUGGAUAUUUACUAAAGCUUUGAAUUUUGUAAUAGGGUAAUGAAAUAAAAUGCCUUGAUAGUUAAAAUUGUCAUAGUUUAAUUAGACCUCAAAAUUUGGUCGUCCUUUACAGAUUUAAAUAGUAGCUGUUUUAAAAUUUUCCUUUGGAUACAUUAUUGAAAUAUAUAAUACUACUUGUUCAUUAUUCUGUUCUUAAGCAAGGAUAGUUAUUCUGUGUCCUAGAGGCUAAAGCAUAGCUGGUUCCCUAGAGCUUCAAGGGCAAAAUUUGCAGCAUAUCAGAAUUAAGAAAUUACUAGCUUACACUAGGCUCUAGGUCCAAUCCUUAGCACUGCAAAAAAAGAAAAAGUAAUUGCUAUCACUAAUAUGUUGAUGCUGGAUUAAAAGUAAAAUUAAGCUGGGCACCACAGCGCAUACCUGCCAUCCUAAUUACUCAGGAGGCUGAGGCAGGAGAAUCACAAAUUCAAGGCUAGCCUGGGCAACUUAGACCUUUCUGAAAAUAAAAUUUAAAAGAGCUAGGGAUGUAGCUCAAAGGUGGAACACUUCUAGUAAGGUUCAGUCCCCAGAGCACACACAAAAAAAAGUUAAACAUUCAAAAAGCCUAAAGCAGUGUAGUUUCACAGAAGGAUAUUUUGUGCCAAGUAUUAGCAUAUGGAUAUCCAUGUGCCAUAGAAACAGUCUAAACUUGAUUCAAAAGAAAUGUUAAUUUACUAAAGUGGCCCCUUCUUGAAGUCAUAGAAUAAGAUCAACUUUGAUAGCUGGUAGGUAGAAAAUAAUUGGAAAGGAAAAAGCAAACCUUAACCACUCUAGGAGAUUAUUGUUGCUGUUGAGCAAAAAGAAAGAGAUAUGUACCUUCUCUGUUUACCUGGAAUUCUUUCACUGAAUCUUUCAAUUUGCUCUUACGUUUAAAUAAAAAAUUUUCAUAUUUUCUUGUGGGAAUAAUUCUAGUAAUAUAAAUUUAUCAGGCUUUCAACUUAGAAUCUGUUUCAGAUUUAAAAUAGAAGGAUUAAAAAUGGGAAAUCUUCUUAAGGUUGUUUACUAAAACAUUAAAGAUAAAAUUGCAAUAUUGUCACAGAAAGUAAUGCUAACAGAAAUUACAACAUGUUUCUCUUGGAAAUUAUCCAUUAAACAGGAAAAUUAGCCAGGCAAUGCAGUGCACACCUGAAAUCCCAGCAGCUUGGGGAGCCUGAAGCCAGGAGGAAGGCAAAUUCAAAGCCCUUAGCAACUUUCUGAGACCCUGUCUCAAAAUAUAGAAUAAAAAGGGAUGGGAGUGUGGCCCAGUUGUUGAGCAACCCUGGGUUCAGUCUCUGGUACCAAGAAGGAAAGGAAAAUUAAAGAUGGAGGAAAGAAUUAAAAGAAAUAUCCUUAAGUAAGUAGGGAAAAAUCUGAUAAUCAAGGGAAGGGAUUUGUCUUAGGAACAGUGAUGAUUUAUCCAUAAUGGAACAGUUAUAUGGGCAUAGAUACAUGUAGAUAAAUUUAGGCCAAGUUCUCUUCUGAUGGCUUCUGUUUUUUGUAAGGAUAAAAGGAGGGGAUAUUAGGAGCUGGGGUUGUGGCUCAGUGGUAGAGCACUUGCCUAGCAUGUGUGAGGCACUGGGUUUGAUUCUCAGCACUACAUAUAAAUAAAUAAAAUAAAGAUCCAUUGACAACUAAAAAAUAUUUUUACAAAAGCAGGGGAGCGGGUAUUGGAAGUUUGAAGAGGGAAAGAAAACAGCUGUCUUGUAUUUUUCUAGGAAAAUGAUAGAAUGAAUGAACCAAGAUCACCAGACAGCUCUUGAACCAAUUUUAGGUAUAAAAAGUAAUUAUAAAGUUAAAUUUUCUUCAUUCACAGUUGACAUGAUCUUAUGUUUAGAAAACCCUUAAGAUUCCUCACACAAAAAAAAACUUAACUGAUGGCCAAAUUUGGCAAAUUUGUAAGGUACAAAAUCACCACAGAAAUCAGUUGCAUUUCUAAACACUUAACAGUGAACAAUGUAAAAUUGAAGUUAGGAGAACAAUUCCAUUUACAGAGCUUUAAAAAGAAUAAAAUACUUAGAAUAAACUUAGCCAAGGAAGUGAAAGAAUUGUACAUAGCAAACUAUAAAAUAUUGCUGAAAGAAAUUAAGGCAAAUAAAUGGAAAGACAUCCCAUUUUAAUGAAUUGGAAGACUUAGCAUUAAGAUAAUAAUCCAACUGAAAGUGAUCUACAGAUUCAAUGCAGUCUUUGUCAAAAUCCCAACAGUUUGUUACAGAAAUAGGAAAAUCCAACUUAAGAUUUAUAUGGAAUCUCAAGGAACACCAAAUAACCAAAACAAUCUUGAAAAAGAACAGAAUUGGAGGUUUCACACUACCCGAUUUAAAAACAAAAGCUAUGGAAAUCAAAACAGUGUGGUAUUGGCAUAAAGAUAUCUAGACCAAUGGAAAUAGAGUUGAGAGCCCAGAAUAAAUCCUAGCAUAUAUGUUCAAAUGAUUUUCAACAAAAGUGC